AGUACGGCGGAACACGAGAAAUUCCGUCGGAAUCCGCGGGGACCAUCCCGCAAGGCUAAAUACUCCCUAGUGACCGAUAGUGAACCAGUACCGUGAGGGAAAGGUGAAAAGCACCCCGGAAGGGGAGUGAAAUAGAUCCUGAAACCGUGUGCCUACAACAAGUCAAAGCUCGUUAAUGAGUGAUGGCGUGCCUUUUGUAGAAUGAACCGGCGAGUUACGAUUGCAUGCGAGGUUAAGUCGAAGAGACGGAGCCGCAGCGAAAGCGAGUCUGAAUAGGGCGAAUGAGUAUGUAGUCGUAGACCCGAAACCAUGUGAUCUACCCAUGUCCAGGUUGAAGGUGCGGUAAAACGCACUGGAGGACCGAACCCACGUACGUUGAAAAGUGCGGGGAUGAGGUGUGGGUAGCGGAGAAAUUCCAAACGAACUUGGAGAUAGCUGGUUCUCUCCGAAAUAGCUUUAGGGCUAGCCUCGGAAUUGAGAAUGAUGGAGGUAGAGCACUGUUUGGACUAGGGGCCCAUCUCGGGUUACCGAAUUCAGAUAAACUCCGAAUGCCAUUCAUUUAUAUCCGGGAGUCAGACUGCGAGUGAUAAGAUCCGUAGUCGAAAGGGAAACAGCCCAGACCACCAGCUAAGGUCCCAAAAUAUAUGUUAAGUGGAAAAGGAUGUGGGGUUGCACAGACAACUAGGAUGUUGGCUUAGAAGCAGCCACCAUUUAAAGAGUGCGUAAUAGCUCACUAGUCGAGUGACCCUGCGCCGAAAAUGUACCGGGGCUAAACAUAUUACCGAAGCUGUGGACUACACCAUUAGGUGUAGUGGUAGGAGAGCGUUCUAAGGGCGUUGAAGGUCGAUCGUGAGGACGGCUGGAGCGCUUAGAAGUGAGAAUGCCGGUAUGAGUAGCGAAAGACAGGUGAGAAUCCUGUCCACCGUAUGACUAAGGUUUCCUGGGGAAGGCUCGUCCGCCCAGGGUUAGUCGGGACCUAAGCCGAGGCCGAUAGGCGUAGGCGAUGGACAACAGGUUGAUAUUCCUGUACCAGUUGUUUUUGUUUGAGCAAUGGAGGGACGCAGUAGGCUAAGGAAUGCAUGCGAUUGGAAGUGCAUGUCCAAGCAAUGAGUCUUGAGUAGAGUUAAAUGCUUUACUCUUUAAGGACAAGUUGUGACGGGGAGCGAAAUAAUAGUAGCGAAGUUCCUGAUGUCACACUGCCAAGAAAAGCUUCUAGUGAGAAAAUAACUGCCCGUACCGUAAACCGACACAGGUAGUCGAGGAGAGUAUCCUAAGGUGAGCGAGCGAACUCUCGUUAAGGAACUCGGCAAAAUGACCCCGUAACUUCGGGAGAAGGGGUGCUGACGAC
rnacentral:rRNA from 1 species